rnacentral:rRNA from 1 species
GAUGAACGCUAGCUACAGGCUUAACACAUGCAAGUCGAGGGGCAGCAUGGUCUUAGCUUGCUAAGGCCGAUGGCGACCGGCGCACGGGUGAGUAACACGUAUCCAACCUGCCGUCUACUCUUGGACAGCCUUCUGAAAGGAAGAUUAAUACAAGAUGGCAUCAUGAGUUCACAUGUUCACAUGAUUAAAGGUAUUCCGGUAGACGAUGGGGAUGCGUUCCAUUAGAUAGUAGGCGGGGUAACGGCCGACCUAGUCUUCGAUGGAUAGGGGUUCUGAGAGGAAGGUCCCCCACAUUGGAACUGAGACACGGUCCAAACUCCUACGGGAGGCAGCAGUGAGGAAUAUUGGGCAAUGGGCGAGAGCCUGAACCAGCCAAGUAGCGUGAAGGAUGACUGCCCUAUGGGUUGUAAACUUCUUUUAUAAAGGAAUAAAGUCGGGUAUGGAUACCCGUUUGCAUGUACUUUAUGAAUAAGGAUCGGCUAACUCCGUG